GUUGGAGUGGUCCAGCAGGGGGCGCUGUAGUUGGGGAAGGGUAAGGUUGGAGUGGUCCAGUAGGGGGCAGUCUAGUUGGGGAAGGGUAAGGUUGGAGUGGUCCAGCAGGGGGCGCUGUAGUUGGGGAAGGGGAAGGUUGGAGUGGUCCAGCAGGGGGCGCUGUAGUUGGGGAAGGGUAAGGUUGGAGUGGUCCAGUAGGGGGCGCUGUAGUUGGGGAAGGGUAAGGUUGGAGUGGUCCAGUAGGGGGCAGUCUAGUUGGGGAAGGGUAAGGUUGGAGUGGUCCAGCAGGGGGCGCUGUAGUUGGGGAAGGGUAAGGUUGGAGUGGUCCAGUAGGGGGCGCUGUAGUUGGGGAAGGGUAAGGUUGGAGUGGUCCAGCAGGGGGCGCUGUAGUUGGGGAAGGGGAAGGUUGGAGUGGUCCAGCAGGGGGCGCUGUAGUUGGGGAAGGGUAAGGUUGGAGUGGUCCAGUAGGGGGCAGUCUAGUUGGGGAAGGGUAAGGUUGGAGUGGUCCAGCAGGGGGCGCUGUAGUUGGGGAAGGGUAAGGUUGGAGUGGUCCAGCAGGGGGCAGUCUAGUUGGGGAAGGGUAAGGUUGGAGUGGUCCAGCAGGGGGCGGUGUAGUUGGGGAAGGGUAGUGUUGGAGUGGCCCAACUUUGGCGGAGGGGGAGGUGUGGCUUGGGACUGAGUGAGAGAACUCAAAAAAUGGCGGCCGUGAUGCUAUAACUCUGUGUGGCCUGUCUAACACACGAGAGCGGAUGAGAGACUAGGGGGUAACUCUUGUCACUCUUGGAGAAGGAGAACGAGAAAAAG
ensembl:lncRNA